GUGACAUCUUCCACCAUGUCAUCACCUGAGAGAUCUGCAUCAUAUGAGAGCCUCGCUUUAGAUGUUGGAGGAGAUAAGGGAGAGAAAGACAAGAUCAUCUCUUGUGCCCGUUGAUCACCAGGCCAGGCUGGCACUUACAGAGCUGGGCGAGAGCUCGGCUUCAGGCUUCAUGAGGAGGACGCUUUUGUCCACAGCACGGACGGCGCACAGGGAGCCCGGGGAGGCUCCGAACCGGAGAUUUUUCAGUGCACGGUGCAUUGAUCUGCAUUUUCCAUGCUCGUGUGGAGAGAGACAGAGAUGGAGAAACAGAGGGAGAGCGACCGAGUGUGUGAAGGACAGAGAGAACAAGGGACAGACAGAGAGAGAGCAAGACAGAGAGGAGGAGACUGAAAUUCCCAGCCAACAAACUCUUUGUUUUAUCUCUCGAUGGGCAGAGAGAUCAAUAAACCCACAGACAUCUCCCCUGGAGCUCAGCCAGUGACACCUCCCAUCCCCUAGCUCCCUGGAUUCAGCCACUCACGGUGAU